UCCUGAAGGAACGUUAAAGACGAUGACGUUGAUAGGCCGGGUGUGUAAGCGCAGCGAUGCGUUGAGCUAACCGGUACUAAUGAACCGUGAGGCUUAACCUUACAACGCCGAAG
rnacentral:rRNA from 1 species